GCCGGGGUGGCGGAAUCUGGUAGACGCAGCGGACUUAAAAUCCGCUGGAAGUUAUCUUCCGUGCCGGUUCGAGUCCGGCCCUCGGCA
rnacentral:tRNA from 1 species